rnacentral:lncRNA from 1 species
UGCUUAAGUAAGAAUUGAAGUAUUUUGGAUUUUCACGUGCUGAGGUCCUACCCAGAGAUCCCGUGGAACACAGGUGUUGCUUUUAUCAAGAAAACAUUUUCAUUGCUCAAGGAAAAGUGACACUGAAGCAGACACAGACCUCGGAACAUCAGAAGGCAAAGUAGACCGUGAAAAGUGCUCCUCCUUUGCCUUGGAGCAGCGUGGGCCCGAACAAAACAUAUCCAUGGCCAGAGAAAAACUCAGUUCCGGUGGCGACAAACUGGGAAGGCUCCAGACGGCCCAGGAGCUCACCGUUAAUUAGAGAAGAUCACAAAGCCUCGGAGCUCAGAAGUUCAAAGCACUCGGACUCUGGCGAAGCUGGCUGGCUUCCUGGCUCGAUCCCUGUCCUUACCCAGCCUCAGUUUCUUCCUCACCAGAAGGAAAAUAAUACCCAGUCGUGCAUAGACAGUGGGUCUUUAAUCAACGGAUGAUGAAGGAAGAACUCUCUGAGCAGAGGCGUGAGAAAGCCGGCAUCAUAGACCUCCAGGCCGACAGGACCGUAAGAGCACAGGUCCGGAGGAGCAUACAAGUUUUAUUUGGUAAUUACUGGUUUGUA